rnacentral:rRNA from 1 species
UGGCGGCGUGCUUUAUGCAUGCAAGUCGAACGAGAAGGGUCUGGCUUCGGCCGGGCCCGGAGAGUGGCGAACGGGUGAGUAACACGUGAGUGACCUGCCCCGGGCAGGGGGAUAACCAUGGGAAACGAUGGCUAAUACCCCGUAGUCCUGGCCGUAUUGGAAACGGUUAGGUAUAGCUCCGGCGGCCCGGGAGGGGCUCGCGGUUGAUUAGCUGGUUGGUGGGGUAAUGGCCUACCAAGGCAACGAUCGAUAGCUGGUCUGAGAGGACGAUCAGCCACACUGGGACUGAGAUACGGCCCAGACUCCUACGGGGGGCAGCAGCAAGGAAUAUUGGACAAUGGGCGCAAGCCUGAUCCAGCAACGCCGCGUGGAGGAUGACGGCCCUUGGGUUGUAAACUCCUUUUGUGUGGGAUGAGACAAGGACAGUACCACACGAAUAAGUCACGGCUAACUAGGUGCCAGCAGCCGCGGUAACACCUAGGUGACAAGCGUUAUCCGGAUUUACUGGGCGUAAAGGCUUCGAAGGCCGCC